AAGAUAUCAAUAAGCGGAGGAAAAGAAACUAACAAGGAUUCCCCUAGUAACUGCGAGUGAAGCGGGAAAAGCUCAAAUUUAAAAUCUGGCAGCCUUUGGUUGUCCGAGUUGUAAUCUAGAGAAGUGUUAUCCGCGCUGGACCGUGUACAAGUCUCCUGGAAUGGAGCGUCAUAGAGGGUGAGAAUCCCGUCUUUGACACGGACUGCCAGGGCUUUGUGAUGCGCUCUCAAAGAGUCGAGUUGUUUGGGAAUGCAGCUCAAAAUGGGUGGUAAAUUCCAUCUAAAGCUAAAUAUUGGCGAGAGACCGAUAGCGAACAAGUACCGUGAGGGAAAGAUGAAAAGAACUUUGGAAAGAGAGUUAAACAGUACGUGAAAUUGCUGAAAGGGAAACGCUUGAAGUCAGUCGCGUUGUCCAGGGAUCAACCUUGCUUUUGCUUGGUGCACUUUCUGGUUGACGGGUCAGCAUCAAUUUUGACUAUUGGAAAAAGAUUAGGGGAAUGUGGCAUCUUUGGAUGUGUUAUAGCCCUUGGUUGCAUACAAUGGUUGGGAUUGAGGAACUCAGCACGCCGCAAGGCCGGGUUUUUAACCACGUACGUGCUUAGGAUGCUGGCAUAAUGGCUUUAAUCGACCCGUCUU
rnacentral:rRNA from 1 species